ACAACUGUCACAAACAAAACAAGACAAAAAACACUUUUCAGUACAUGGAACACACCAUCUAUCGUGUAGAAACUCGGCAACCAACAAUGUUUUCUUUAAACAACAAUGGAGCAUUUCAAACACGUUAGAAUGAAAUCUUCAAUUCAUGUCUACCAAUUAACUACCAUUUCCGAAAACCCUACGAAAUGUCAAUGAUGAAACGCCUGUUUGAAAAUUGAGAUAUCACUGGAUUUGUUGCAAGAACUUGGAUGGCAGGCAAAAUUCAACGGAUGACUCCUUGCGGCCCCAUUCCGUGAUGCGGAAAUGACAUUCUCCAGGCUACUUAAAAUACAUACUGCGUAUGGCCAACACCCAUGCCGCCAUAAAUUUGGAGUUCAAGGCUAAUGGCAAGCACAUACCGCCAAUUACUCAACAUUUUUUGUGUUCCUUCAACAUGCAAAACACGAGAAAUGUGAAACAAUAAGGAUUCAGCGAUGGCAACAGUUGCUGGUGGUGCAUACUAACGAAUUUCGAAAUCAAGAAAGAAACCAACAAACAAAAAAAAAAGUAACAAAAAAGAAAACUUACAUCAUCACGUAGAUACAACCUGAAGGGGCUCGUGCAUUUAGCUUUGGUUGUGUAACCCACACAGAAACUAAUAACGUCAGCGUUCCACAACAAAACUGCGUGUUAUCAUCUAAACGAAGAAAUGGCCGUCUUUUCUGGUGAAGUGCCCACUACAGUUCUACUGUGCGUUUGAUAAUGGAGAUAAUGGUCGACAGCUUCACCAACUAUAGACGUCGAAAAUGUGGGAUAGGUGACAAAACGGUGAAGAAGGCUGAGUAUUGUAUCCUUUUCCUUACCCUUCCCUAAGUACAUUUAUAAGAAAAAAAUUCUUGGAAAUUGUCGAGUUGCCAAAUCGUUUAAAAAUGACGUAUUACGUAACUUAAAUCCUCCUUCAAAAUGAUUUGAGACAUACAAAUUGAUUGAUUUUUUAAAAACUUUUAAUUGCUGUAUCAUCGCAUUUACGCAUUGGUCAUCGUUGGCCCCACUUGUCAAAUGUGACAAGCAUUUCGUGUUAAAAACACCUGCGGGAAGCCUCAAGGAUAAACGAAACGGAUGUGCAAGUCAUAAUGAGACGACAUUUCAAUCGUAUCCUCCUUUGUUUGCAUUGCACACGAUUUUACUAUUACUUAAAACAUUAAUAACUCUACAUAACGCCCAUUGUGAUUUGGGAAGCGUUCAUUAGCGUAGUCACAUUUUAUUUUGACAAUCGUUCGGGGAGGAAAGAGGCCAGUUCAUCAUUAACAUUAGCUGUUUUGUACAGGCCGAUCUCAUCGUGACGGAAUAAGAGUUACGAAAUGCAACAACAAUGCUGAUCCGGUUACAACUAUCGACAUAUCUCCUAAUCAUGCCCUUCUCCUGAAGCCUCUUGGAACAGUUUUCAUGGUCAAGGUGUAGCCCGUAGAUGGGAUAAUACCUCUUGUGUAGCUUUUCUCUUUCGUUUUUAUUGUUGAGAAUUUCAGGUGGGUGUUUAUCACGCCUUUUACCUUUUCUUGCAAUACCAAAUUGCUUCACUAGUACUCUUAAUAAUGCGAGCGCAUUUUUAUGUUGAAAAAGACAAUGCCUUUGUUGCUGAACAGAAAAUUGUUGGCUAAAAAUACUUGGCUACCAAUUUUCUGCGCUGAAAGUAGAGUCGAGUAACAGGUUAACGUAUUACGCACCCAAUGAUCUUUCAAUUGCAAACACCCUGGCCGACUUUAAUUAUUGAGGCGAAGGACGAUAUAUUACUAGUUUUACAGGUCCGUUUUCUUCGAACGCGGUCGUACAUUCUCCAUUCAACAACCUUGACUAUAUAUGGUGUUUGAAUCAAGCGUCAGUAAAGGCGUAUUUUUCGAUAGGAUGCUGGUGAUUCAAUUAAGCACCUGGUAAGAAUGAAUUGAUGCGAAAUUGUACACUGUUAUAGUAUAUUUAUAUGUAGUUGAAUAUCGAAUAGGUUACAUCCAUACAGACAGCCAUACAAUGUCAAAUGUUCAGUAAUGUAUAUAUGUAAAUUCACAGAGCGUGUUGACAGCCCAAAGUGAUGAAAUGAGAGAA
rnacentral:lncRNA from 1 species